rnacentral:rRNA from 1 species
AUGUGUGUCCCAAACGACCAAGGAGGCUUGGGCUUCAGAGAUAUACAUUGUAAGCUAGCUUUGUUAGCCAAGCAAGCGUGCCGUCUGCUUGAUAGUCCUGAAUCUUUAUGUGCUACUAUCUUGAGAGCUAAACAUUUCGUGGAGGGUGAUUUAAUGAAUGCAAGUCUAAAGAAGGGUUCCUCUUUUACUUGGCAAAGAAUUAUGGCGGGUGUUAACUCUCUAAUAAAUGGUUAUAUCUGGAGAGUUGGAAAUGAACAAAAUAUUGAUAUUUGGAGAGAUGCAUGGAUCCUGAAUUGUGCGGAUAGGAAAAUCAUUACUCCUAGAAGUGGGAAUCUUCUGUCAAAAGGUUUUUGA